GGGAAGGUAGCUCAGCAGUAGAGUGCUUGCCUUGCAUGCAUGAGGCCCUGGGUUCAAUUCCUCAGCACCA
rnacentral:tRNA from 1 species